rnacentral:rRNA from 1 species
AGUGAACGCUGGCGGUAGGCCUAACACAUGCAAGUCGAACGGCAGCACAGAGGAGCUUGCUCCUUGGGUGGCGAGUGGCGGGCGGGGGAGGAAUACAUCGGAAUCUACUCUGUCGUGGGGGAUAACGUAGGGAAACUUACGCUAAUACCGCAUACGACCUACGGGUGAAAGCAGGGGACCUUCGGGCCUUGCGCGAUUGAAUGAGCCGAUGUCGGAUUAGCUCGUUGGCGGGGUAAAGGCCCACCAAGGCGACGAUCCGUAGCUGGUCUGAGAGGAUGAUCAGCCACACUGGAACUGAGACACGGUCCAGACUCCUACGGGAGGCAGCAGUGGGGAAUAUUGGACAAUGGGCGCAAGCCUGAUCCAGCCAUACCGCGUGGGUGAAGAAGGCCUUCGGGUUGUAAAGCCCUUUUGUUGGGAAAGAAAUCCAGCUGGCUAAUACCCGGUUGGGAUGACGGUACCCAAAGAAUAAGCACCGGCUAACUUCGUGCCAGCCGCCGCGGUAA